UACGUAGGGUGCGAGCGUUAAUCGGAAUUACUGGGCGUAAAGCGUGCGCAGGCGGUUGGUUAAGUCUGAUGUGAAAGCCCCGAGCUCAACUUGGGAAUGGCAUUGGAAACUGGCUGGCUAGAGUGUGGCAGAGGGGGGUGGAAUUCCGCGUGUAGCAGUGAAAUGCGUAGAGAUGCGGAGGAACACCGAUGGCGAAGGCAGCCCCCGGGGCGGACACUGACGCUCAGGCACGAAAGCGUGGGGAGCAAACAGG
rnacentral:rRNA from 1 species